rnacentral:lncRNA from 1 species
AGAGGACACAGACUCAGAAGGAGGAGGAAGAAGAGAAACCUCAGACUACAUAUUCUGCAUUUAUUCAGCUACUUCCAGUUCUUGUGAUUGUGAUUAUAUCUGUCAUUACUCAGCUGCUGGCUACUAAUCCCCCAUAUAGUCUGUUCUAUAAAUCGACCUUGGGCUACACCAUUUCUAGAGAAACUCAGAACCUGCAGGUGCCUUACUUUGUGGAUAAAAACUUUGACAAGGCCUACAGAGGAGCUUCUCUGCAUGACUUGGAGAAAACAAUAGAGAAGGAUUACAUUGAUUAUAUCCAGACUAGUUGUUGGAAGGAGAAACAACAAAGAGGUACCCUUUUAACUGAAGUUUUGGCUCAUGUUUAAAAAGCAAAUUCUGACUCAUUUCUAAAGCCUUAUUACUGAGUAUCAUUAAAUACCUAAUGGAGUCUGA